rnacentral:rRNA from 1 species
AGCUCCAAUAGCGUAUAUUAAAGUUGUUGCAGUUAAAAAGCUCGUAGUUGGAGUUCAGAGUGAGCUCGUCCGGUCGGCCUAAUGGGUCAGAACUGGUUGACUCUCUCUUGUUUGUGGAUCCUGCCAGCAGUUAACUCUGUUGGUGUGGAGUCCACAUCGUUUACCUUGAAAAAUUAGAGUGUUCAAAGCAGGCGUUUGCUUGAAUAUAUUAGCAUGGAAUAAUGGAAUAGGACGCUGGUUCUAUUUUGUUGGUUUUGAGAACCAGAGUAAUGAUUAAUAGGGACAGUUGGGGGCAUUCAUAUUUCAUUGUCAGAGGUGAAAUUCUUGGAUUUGUUGAAGACGAGCUACUGCGAAAGCAUUUGCCAAAGAUGUUCUCA